UGUUUAAACACCUGUUUCCGUACGAUCACCGAAGUUAAGCAACGUCAAGCCUGGUCAGUACCUAGAUGGUUGACCGCUUGAGAAUACCAGGUGUUGUAA